rnacentral:lncRNA from 1 species
CCCAGUGUGUGGGAUUCUCUUAGAGCUGCCUGAACACCUAAGAUAAUUUAUUUUUUUUAGACGACUCAAGGGGAAUAAAUGUAUUUUCAUUUCCCAAAUGCUCCCUCUAGCUUUUGUUUGCAACGUGAACAGACAGGAAUCUGAAGACAGCGGUGCCCUCCCUCCGUAACCCACAAGAGCCGGGAGGAGCCCCCAGGACUGGCCAGCUUUAGGCCCUGUGCCGCUGGACCUCCAGUUUGAGAUUUUCAUCAUUUAUGUUCACUAACUCGUCCACACUGUGGCUCUGAAAUAUUUUCAGGUAUUUGCUCAUCAGAUUUCCUGUCCAUCCCCAGGCGGCCCUCUUUACCUGCUCUCCUCCUCCUCUCAUCUGAGCCAGCGAGGGCACUCAGAUCUGCAUUCGAAUCACUAUUUAUUCUUUGGAAGAGCCAGUUAUUUUUACUGUAGAGCUUGACAAACACGUCCACAAGAGAUCGGUUUGGAUGAUUACAGAACUAACCCAUACUUCAAGCCACCUGACACAGACCCUGCAGGGAGGGCAAGAAAUCUCUGGUGCUGAUUUCUACUUAGUGACUCACACGGCCCGCCAAGUAAGUCAGUCGUUUUCCUCUACCAACUUUGCAUCAUUUUUCUCUGCAAAUAAAGUGUUGACUAAGUCACAUACUGGUUUGAAUUUGACAGCAGCAUGACCCCUAAGCGGAACCCAGCCACACUUCUCUGUCUCUGUCUCGCUUUCCGUUUUUACUCGCCCCUGAAUCAAUUGUGAGAAAUGAUUCUGACCUGUAAAAUGGUUCGGAUCCUCUCAAGAUUCUUCUUUCGAUGGGGCCCCUGG